GGUAACUAGCAUAUAACAAAUCUCCAAUAAGCCUCUCAAUCUUGGUGAUGAGCUGACCCGUCAGUCAUGGUGGUAGGUCAUGCACUGCUAGGAUUUAGGGGCCCAUCACGUUCCAUAAUGGACCAUACUAGGCUUAGUUCUAGGAGAAGAUUUGUAAGGGUGUAAAAUUGAUAGUUGAAGGGAAAGAAGCUUACAUAUAGGUGUAGCCAUACUCUCAAUUAGAGUAGGCCUUUGGGAAAAAAAGCCACUGAGCUUGACCCAAAGACGACAGUAUCCUACCAUGUCGAGUGUCUUUGGGCUGGUAGGAGGCCCUAAAACUGGGGUUCACUUCCUAUUACCAAGUGAGUCGUCCAAGGUGAUUAGAGCCAAAACAAAAGGGCAUAAUUUAAGUGCAUUAAGAUUUAGCAGCUAAAAUGUCUUUGAAAUAGAAACAAACAUGAAAAACCUUUUACUUGUCAGAAGAGCUAAUCACAUAUCAACUAACAUCGAGCCAAAAAAUGUCUGCGGUUCUCUUUUUAUAGAAAAAAUAAACUCACUAGGGAGAAUUAUUAUCAACACCAUCUCUAUGGUAGAAAAGUAGAUCCGUGCAGGGCAAUAACAUUUUCAUCAAGAACACACCACAUUGCAUAGAUCAAAACACUAAAUCGAGUGUCCUAUCGAAAUAAUUUCAGCCAACAUAGACAAUGUAAUGUAGCAACUUAUCCAUGCAAGACCCUUUGAAAGGGUACUUCUUGCAUUCUAAAGGAUUUAUUUUUGUUCUGCAGACAAUUAGAGUGCUAAAACUGGCACUAUUACGACCUUGUUUCGGCUUGGAAAGGCACUGCAAUUACUAUAUCUGAUGCUGAGAGAGAACAACCAAGCCAAUCAAGGAGAUUGUUUGUACACAAUGAAAAGGAGACAGCUGACAAUGGGGCAUGGUGCCAGCUUGGGAGGUUGUGAAGUACUCUGAACUCUCUUAAAAGAGACCGUCAAAUAAUGGAGGAAAAGAACACAGAGAAAACACAAGAGUUUUAUUAUUAUUAUUAUUAAUACCAGUAAAGAAUGUACUGCAGUGGAUGAGGCUGCUUCUUUCUUAAUCAGAGGUUUCGGGAUCGAGCACUUUUUUAAAAUAAGCCGAUACGGCGCAAAUCCGGAUAUAAUUGGACUCUAAUGCUGAAAUCGAACACCGGAUGAAAAACCAAAAAAGAAAAACUGUAUUUUUUUUAAGCCUUUGGAGUUGCUCUUUUGGGAGUUCUCAGCAGCUUUACCACUGCUGCUUUUUUGGGGGUUCACUUCCACUUGCAAACUUCUUUUUCAUCCUUUCCAAAUCCACCCUUCACUGUACUUGCGUUCAUAUAAAUACUCUCUCUGUCCCAUAAUAA